rnacentral:sRNA from 1 species
GCGAGCUGGUAUGUGCCCGUAGUCCCAGCUUCGCGGGGUGCUGAGGCAGGAGAAUCACCCGAGCCCAGUUCUGGGCCGUAGCGCACUAUGCCGAUUGUGCGUCUGCACAGAGUUUGGCAUCAGCAUGGUGACCUCUGGGAGUGCGGGACUACCGAGUUGCCUAAGGAGGGGUGAAAUGGCGCAGCUCAGAACUCCUGUGCUGAUGAGGAGCG